AUUGAACGCUGGCGGCAUGCUUUACACAUGCAAGUCGAACGGCAGCACGGGUGCUUGCACCUGGUGGCGAGUGGCGGACGGGUGAGUAAUGCAUCGGAACGUGUCCUAAAGUGGGGGAUAACGCAUCGAAAGAUGUGCUAAUACCGCAUAUUCUCUGAGGAGGAAAGUAGGGGAUCGAAAGACCUUAUGCUUUUGGAGCGGCCGAUGUCUGAUUAGCUAGUUGGUAGGGUAAUGGCUUACCAAGGCGACGAUCAGUAGUUGGUCUGAGAGGACGACCAGCCACACUGGGACUGAGACACGGCCCAGACUCCUACGGGAGGCAGCAGUGGGGAAUUUUGGACAAUGGGCGCAAGCCUGAUCCAGCCAUUCCGCGUGCAGGAUGAAGGCC
rnacentral:rRNA from 1 species